AAGGUUAGGAGCAGCAGAAACCAGGGGCUUCAACUAGAAACAGCUGAACAACUGGCUCAUCCAUUGCAUUGCAGGUGUGCUGACCCCUGCGAUUUCCCGAAAUGCGGGAAACUCGACUGCAUAAUUUGUGGUAGUGGGGGACUGCGUUCACUCUCA
ensembl:snRNA U1 U1 spliceosomal RNA